rnacentral:lncRNA from 1 species
CUCCUGUUGACUUGCAGGCAGUUUGAGAGGCUCGCAUCAGAGCUGCGUACCCAGCCUUGGAGAUGGGGCGGCUGCUGGCUUUGCAGUCAUGAUCCAGAGGAUGCCGAUGCUUUAUGCAGAAGUUGCCACCACACUGCUCACAAACUACUUUCAUCAUCUCUUUCCUUUUGCAGCCUGGCUUUAAGCACUUGUUUGUGAAGAUCUUUUGCUGUGCUGGAUUGUAUUUGCAGUCCUUAUCCAUGUGGGCUCCCACCACAAUAUCUG